GUGCUUGCUUCAGCAGCACAUAUUCUAAAAUUGGAAAAAUACAGAGAAGAUUAGCAAGGCCCCUGUGCAAAGAUGACACACAAAUUCAUGAAGCAUUCCAUAUUUUU